rnacentral:rRNA from 1 species
CCUACGGGUGGCAGCAGUGAGGAAUAUUGGUCAAUGGGCGCGAGCCUGAACCAGCCAAGUAGCGUGAAGGAUGACUGCCCUACGGGUUGUAAACUUCUUUUGUCAGGGAGCAACGCCGGCUACGUGUAGCCGGACUGAGAGUACCUGAAGAAAAAGCAUCGGCUAACUCCGUGCCAGCAGCCGCGGUAAUAGGGAGGAUGCGAGCGUUAUCCGGAUUUAUUGGGUUUAAAGGGUGCGUAGGCGGAAUGCCAAGUCAGCGGUAAAAUCGCGGGGCUCAACCUCGCUCCGCCGUUGAAACUGGCGUUCUUGAGUGGGCGAGAAGUAUGCGGAAUGCGUGGUGUAGCGGUGAAAUACAUAGAUAUCACGCAGAACCCCGAUUGCGAAGGCAGCAUGCCGGCUUCCUACUGACGCUGAAGCACGAAAGCGUGGGGAUCGAACAGGAUUAGAUACCCCUGUAGUC